AAAAAACUAAAAAUUUUCAUUGUCAUGGCAUUUUAAUGAAGUUAUUUUGGAGAAGUGCUACAUAGUGAUGAUAGUGAUGAAAUAAGAAAUUCACAGCCAUGUAAUAGCAGAACUGUUUGUGUAUACUUUACUGCAUUGGUAUAUCAUAAAAGGAAAGGUUUAUAAAUACAUGGUACUUUAAGUGUAAUGAAAAAACAAUGUAGAUCCAUUAUUUAAACAUUGAUGCAUUUCUGUAGAGAAUGAUGAAAAUUAUCUAAACAUUAUGAAAUGCAGUCAUAUAUUUCUUUUUGAGAUUUUUUUUAAUACAGUACAAUUGUAUCUGUACUUGCUUUGUUAUUUCAAACUGAUAGAAAACAGACAACUGUGACCUUGUGACAGUUACCUCAAUAAUGAUGUCAAGGUCACUUGUAUGGACAACUAUUUCAAUGUUAUGUAUCUUAUGCUAACAUGUAGAUAUCUAAGCAUUUUUGGUGUGUUAAUUUUUUUAUUGUCAGUAUUUUUUUUAUACCUGCACAUGCUCUAUAUCUUGCAAAUGUGUAAAAACGUUGUCAACUUCUUAAUUUAUGAAAUAAUUGAUGAAAUAAAAUAAAAGAAACAUGAAAAAU
rnacentral:misc_RNA from 1 species